rnacentral:lncRNA from 1 species
UUAGAGGCCAAUUUACAAAGGAUCUACUGAACAAAAUUGAGGCUUCGUGUUUCGGCUAUUUGGUUGAUGUGAAUCGCUGACUGAUUCGGGAAACUCACCCAUUACACUAUCCUUAGGGCUAUUAAGGAUAUAGUGAGUGAUGAUUCCAUCUCCUUCCAUUUUGGGGAACAUGUUGCGACUUUCAAGAGCUGGGAAUUCUGUUUAGUGAUGGGACUCAGUUUCGGAGAAUUCCCCCUUAAAGAGAAUGAUGAUGAAUGUCAUCUUAGAGACAUCGAUUUCAGGAGAAAGAAGAAGAUAACCUUGAAACAAUUGGAGGAGCAAUUCAACAUGUGCCAACAUCUAGAAGAUAGGUACAAGUUCGGUCUAAUGUACUUCACCCACUUUGUUGUUUUGGGCAAGGAGAAAGAGUCAACCAUUG